rnacentral:rRNA from 1 species
GAGUAACACGUGGGCAAUCUGCCCGUAAGACUGGGAUAACUCCGGGAAACCGGGGCUAAUACCGGAUAAUACUGACUCUCUCCUGAGAGUCAGUUGAAAGAUGGUUUCGGCUAUCACUUACGGAUGAGCCCGCGGCGCAUUAGCUAGUUGGUAGGGUAAUGGCCUACCAAGGCGACGAUGCGUAGCCGACCUGAGAGGGUGAUCGGCCACACUGGGACUGAGACACGGCCCAGACUCCUACGGGAGGCAGCAGUAGGGAAUCUUCCGCAAUGGACGAAAGUCUGACGGAGCAACGCCGCGUGAGUGAAGAAGGUUUUCGGAUCGUAAAACUCUGUUGUUAGGGAAGAACACGUACGAGAGUAACUGCUCGUACCUUGACGGUACCUAACCAGAAAGCCACGGCUAACUACGUG